rnacentral:lncRNA from 1 species
UAAUAUGUUUUCAUUUCCACUCCAGGAUCACUAAUGGCUGAAGUUACCCACCUGGGCGUUGAUGCUUUGUCUUAACCUGUUGGCACAUUAGACACUUAGAAAUAAAGUCAGUUACCUCUCUUUUCAUCCUACUCCACCAAAAUUGAGGUUGCAUACUUUGAUGCAUUUUUAUACUUUCGGGAUAUAUGACGAACUUAAAGUUGUGAGCCUCUGUCAUGAUAUCUUUUUUUAGUUUAC